rnacentral:lncRNA from 1 species
UUGAGGAACUGCCAAUUUGUUUCUUGAUUUUCUAACCCAAAACAAUAAUAAAGUUAUAAGCAACAGAAGACCUCCACCUCCAACCAGUCCUCCAAUCAGGGCAUCCCUUUUGGUUGUAUUUCCCGCAUAAUUCAAUUUUUAAUAUAAAUUCAACCUGUCCUCCAAUUUGUUAACAUGGAAGGAGAAGGAGAUAUUAUUGGAUUAAUUGUCUGUAUAUAUUUAUAUUAAAUUCAAACCCUUGGAAGGAAUAGGCGAGCCAUGGUAGAAAGGGAGGAGAGGUGCCUUAAAAGGACUUACUGGUUUUCAAGAAGGGUUUCAGGUCAAUGGUGUAGUUAGCACCAAAGAAGGGGGAGUCUGAGUAUCUUAGGAAACAUCCACUGUCAACUGCCCGACCAUCUGAGUCAGGUGGGCAUCUUUGAAUAUUGGCUAAAGCCACUUUCAAGCAUUCCAUGCACCCUUUCUCGUAGAUUGUUUCCAUGCAUUGCGCCACGCCAUACGCUGUUACAUUGCCAUUUACACCACCCACUUCCUCCCCGCUGGCAGCAAAGAACGAAUCGAUCCUUGGCGUCGCCUUUACAAGAUCCCCUAAUAGCCUUUCCACCGUCGUUCCGAAAACACUCUGUUGUGAUGCUGUGCUGCCACCGCAAAUUCCGAGGUUUCCAACUUGCGUGCUUUCUUGGUAGAACAUGUUGCUCUCGUACCUAGCUCACCAAAAUCAACACAUAACUUCAUCAUUAUAAUCAUAAGAUUAUAAAGAUGGUAUAUAUAUGUGUAUAUAUAUAAGUAAAAGAAAGUAAAAACAUAUAUACCUGAGGAAGCAACCGUCGAAGAUGACACGAGCACCAUUAGCGGCGGAGCAGUUGCGGAUUUGUGAGGAAGCAGUACUGAAGCAAGAGAUGCAGUCGUUUCGAGACAUGUAAUUCCUGCACUGCACCAUGGCAUAAACGGGGUCAAAACCCGUGGCUUCUUGAGCCACUGCGAAAUGCAUGCCCUUGUCUAAGUGCCCUCGGAGCUCCGUUAACGUGGCGUUUAGAUUUCUGGAGAAACCGGAGAAGCUGGUGACGUUGAACAUGCUGCACCCAUGGUUCAGCAGAAAGGUUUGUGGAUUUGAGGCACCCAUUUCCAGCAGGCACCAUAUUACCGUCAAGGAAAUGCAAAUUCGAAGAAGCUCCAUAUCUCUUUAAUCUUUAAUACGACCCUCGAGUUUUGUUUUUUCUUGUUUAAUGUUGUUGCCAAAACAAGAUGAAAGAACGUUUAAUGUCUGGUAUAUAUAUAGUGGAAUUCUGUACAGAAUAGUAUUAUCUGUAUGAAUAAAUAAAUCAAUUCAAAAGAUUUGGAAAUAUUAUACCAGUAUACGACAAGGAAUUAGGGGGAUAGGUUAAUUACAUGAGAUGACUUGAUUAAAAUUUUGAAAGGAUUUAAUGAAUUUUAAAAAAAUCAUAAGUCUAAUUUAAACUGAAAAAUUUUAGAAACUUAAUAAGAAUUUUAGGAAAUUUUGGAAAAUGCUAUUUAAUUUUUUUAAAAUUUUUUAUAAUCAUCAUUUUGGUCGAAACCAUAAUUUUCACUGAGGGUAGCAAUAAUUAUUUCCUUACGGUUUAAUUAAAUUUUUAAAAUUCUAAUAAAAUUUUUAGAAAAUUCUGGAUAAGACUUUUGGCACCGAUGAACACCCGCCCCAGCUGGUUCACAAAGUCUGAAGUCUUUCAUUUGGACUUGCACGACUUCGUAGAAACGAACUUUCGUCUAAAGUUGACAGUUGUCACUUCUCAAUAACUUUUUUGUUUUAAUAUGUCAAAGGUCCUUAUACCUUUUUGAAAUAUAAAAUUUAGUCCUUAUACUUUAAUUUUGAGAAAUUGAGUAGCUAUACAAUUUUUUUACUUAAAAAUCUGGUUAGAUUUGAUUUAUAUAAAAAAGGUAAAAUAACUCUUUUAGCCCUCAUGAUUUAUAAUUUUUUAUUAAUUUGGUCCAAACACUUUAAAUUUUAAAAAAUAUAUGAAAAAUAUAAAAAUUUCCUAAAAUUCAAAAAAGUUGUGUUAUUUACUUCAGAAAUAGUAAUAAGGUCUCUCCAAGUUUUAAGCUAUUCUUUUGGUUCAUAUUACUUAAAUUUGAUAAGGCUUUUUUUAUUUAUUUUAAAUUAGAUUAUGUAACACCCUUACCCGUAUUCGACAUCGAAAUAGGGUACGAGGCAUUACCAGAACACAUACACUUGUAAAUGUAUUGAACCGAGUUAUAAAAAAAUUCAAUAAAUUGUUAAACUUUCAAAUUAUUAACAUGCUUUUAUAAUUCUUCACAAUAUAAAUAAUGCAACAUUUCCUACCAACCACAAUCAAGCUUUCGAUAAUCAUCUCACUGCAUCUAAUAAUUGUACAUAUUACCAAUAAUAAUUCAAUUUCAAUAAUAAAACACAUAUCCAUAUAAUAUUCAUCAUAAAAUAACAUUCACUUUAAUUAAAAUUAUACAGAAUAUAGUUCAUACUAACUUACCAAGUUAAUAUGUAGAAAUACCAAGAUGCAAGGGCAUUUUGGUAAUUUUCCAUUUUUUAAUUUUCUACCCGAUCUUGAUCUAAAUUAAUUUUUCAUUUAAUAAAACAACUCAUUCCAUGCAAUUUGGUCAUUUUUGACAAUUUUUUUCAAAAUUGCCCCUAAAGUUUUACUUUUAUUUAAUUUAGUUCCCGAGCCCAAAUCAUUCAAAUUAACCAUUUGUAACGCAAACCCAUGCUAGCAGAAUAUUCAUAUAUUUAUUUCCCCUCCUCCUCUCCAUUCCACAUCCUUAAUGUAUAUAACACACUUAAACAACAUUAACUAUAAUUUUACUAUUCACCCACAUGUAUAUUCAAAGUUGUUUAUCUGAGUCAGAGUCUCUAAAUUAUUUUUAUCUGGAGCUACAGAGCUCCAAAUUAAGAUCCGUUAAUUUUCCCUAAAACUAGACUCACAUAUCUUCUUACCAUAAACUUUUCAGAAUUUUUGGUUCAGCCAAAUAGUACAGUUUAUUCUUUAAAGUUUCCCCUGUUUUGCUAUCUAACAGUUUCGACCACUCUUCACUAAAAAUGAAUUAUCUAAUUGUACAGAAUUCGGAUGAUAUUUACAUUUGUUUUCUUUGAAAAUAGACUCAUCAAGGAUUCUAAUCAUGUAAAUUAUAACUCAUAAUUAUUUUUCUUCAAUUUUUUUUAUGAUUUUUCAAAUUCAGAACAGGGGAACCCGAAAUCAUUCUCACAUUGUCUCACAAAUUUUAUUAUAUCUCAUAAUUUACAAUUUCAUUACUUACACCGUUUCUUCUAUAAGAAACUAGACUCAAUAAGCUUUAAUUUCAUAUUUUAUUCAUCCUCUAAUUCGAUUUACACAAUUUAUGGUGAUUUUUCAAAGUUAGACCACUGCUGCUGCCCAAAACUGUUUUAGUGUAAAUAUUGAUUACCAAUUUGACCCUAAACUUUUAGUACAUAACAAUUUCGUCCCUAGGCUCAGUAAAUGAAAUUCUUGCAAUAUAAUUCUUGUUUCAAGACUAAUAGUUCUCACACAUAUCAGUAACAGCCCAUGGAUUCCAUGAAAUUUCAGAAGUUUUCCUCAAUUUCAAUACUUUCAAUUUAAUUCCUAAAACAUGUUUUCAUCCAUAAUUCUUUAAUAAAACACCAUUAAACAUUCAUUAACAUAUCAAUUUCAUCAUAAAAUAACAAAAAUCAUAUGAACUUAUCAUUGGUAUCUUCCAAAACUUUCAACAAAAUGAGGAACUAAUAGAAUACUAAGUUGGACCUAAUUGUAAAAGUGUAAACAUCUCAAAAUUUCAAGGAAAAAAUAAGAAUUAAACUUACUUGAAGCCAAAAUAUGGAGGAACAGCUCUAACCCCCUUUCAUGGCUGUUUCCACUGAAAUUUCAAGAAGAAAUGGUCUUGAAAUCCUUCAAAUAAAGUUUGGCCACAUAAAUUUUUUUGUAAUUCCAAUUUUGUCCUUAAAUACAUAAAAAUCUUUGAUUUUUUCAACUGUAUGCCGCCUCAGCCACUUAAAUUGGUCCAUUUACUCUUUUAGUCCUUCCUUAUUUAAUUGUUAAACCAUUUAACCACUUUAGCAAGUUUUGCAUCUUUCCAAUUUAGUCAUUUUUAAUUAAUUGACUGCCGAAAUGUUAAAAUUUUCUAACGAAACUUUAACACUACCAUAUUAACACUCCAUAAAUAUUUAUAAAAUAUUUACAGCUCGGUUUAUAACAUCAAGGUCUCGAUACCUCUUUUCCUCAAUUUCUUGACUUGAUAAAUUUUUAUAAAACACAAAUUACUAAUUUAAAAACUCUUAAAAAUCAUAUUUGGCUCGUAAUUAUUAAUAACAAAAUUUACUAGCUUAUUUUCUGAAUUUGGUGAUCUCGUACCACUGUUUUCGACAUUUCUAAAAAUCGGACUAUUACAGAUUAAUUGUAUAUAAAAAUAUUUUUAUGUAAAUUUAAUUAUAAAGUGUAUAAAAUAUUAAUAUAAAAUAAUUUUUAAAUAACGAUACAAAUUCUGAAUCCAUUCAAAUUAAACUUAAAUAUAAUUUUUUUUUUCAAAAUACACCAUAUAUUAAAGGAAUUUUAUAUAAAAAAUGGACACAUUUUGGUAAAGUACAAAAGUUACAAAUUAAGUCUUGAAAUUUUAUACAGUGUAUUUUAAACAACAAAAUGUAAAUAUUUAAAUUUAAUUCACAUCAAGUUUGUAUAAUUAUUUAAUUCAAAUCAUUUAUAUAAAAAUAUAUUUUUGUUUAAAUCAGGACCUAAUUUAUUUAUUUAUUUAUUUAUUUAAAAAUAGUGCUUUUUAUUUUUAAAUUUUUUUAAUUUUUUAUAAUUUUUAUUGAAAAUAUGAAAAGACAUUUAAUUUUAAAACUUCCUUUUUUUUUGGUAAUUGUUUAUGUAUUUUGGAAUAGUUUGAAUUAAAUUGAUAAAAAAAAUUGUAAAUCAUGAGGAUUAAAAGAAUUAUUUUAUUUUUUACAAUAACCUUAUCAUCAAUUCUAAUGAUAAAAUUGACGAAAAGACCAAUAUUUAAUUUGUUAUUAGUUCGAUUAUGCAUCAUAAAGGUUGAUUAUGAUGUAAUUUUUUAAAAAUGGAGUUUGCGCGUGUGUGUGUUUUUACUUUAUUCGCUAAAUGCAAUUUUCUUAAGGCAUUUGCUUUGUUGAUUAUUAUUUUAUGUGCUGAUUGUGAAAAAAAAAAUCAGGAGUAAAGUUAUAAUCUUAUCAUACAAAUUCCAUUCCCAUCUCUAACAUUUUAUAAAGAAAUUUAUAAUCAUGUCACGUCAUUUGCCGGGACUUCUCAUUUGAACUUUAGGUACUAGUCUAUGUGUAAACCUAACGGUCGUGCCUCACCUGUCAGCUGCACUCUGCACACUUCUCUUCACAUCCUCCCUAUUUAUCAUAUCUACCCUUAAAACUUUCAAUUUCCAACAGCGGAAAACACUCCCCGAUUUGUAUUUAGUUGUUUUUAUUAAAAUCAUAAUAAUAGUGACCCAAAUUUGAUAUUUUAACUUAUUAAUUUCAGAAAAAGCUCGAGAUUAAUACUAAUAGACAGCAUGAUGAGCUUUAACUAUGAGCCAUAGUUUGGCACAGUCAAUUCACGUUUAUAUAAAGCAUUUAUAAAUUAUAAGAAUGAUUUUUUUCUCAAUGUAUUUGCUUUUCAAUGUUAACUUUCUUCCUAAAACUAUAUAUAUAGCUGGGAUACUAUCACGGUUAUAAAGGUACUUAAAAAUAGGUUAAGUUUGGUCUAUGAUACUAACAUAUUUUAUUUUUGUUCAAGUUUGGCCCAAUUCAAAAUAUAAAUCUCAAAUUAUGUUCAAAAUUGUCAAUAUAAAUUAUUAGCAAGUUCAUUUUAAACCCAGAUGUUAUUAAAUUUUAUAUUAUUUUUAAUUUUUAAUUUAUUAAUUUUUUAUUAAGAUUUAAUUUUAUUAAUUUUAUUUUAUAUAAAUUACAUUAUAUAUAUAUAUAUUCAAAAUAGAAAACAGAUCAACUUUCAAAAAUAAAAUAAAAAAUAGGUAGCUCAUAUUUUUGCUCAAACUUAUUUUCUGAACCUCAUAUUUUUAUCCAAACUCUCCUGUAAUUUAAGUGGAUUUCGAGUUUUGAUUAAAUAGCUCAAUCCUUAAACAAGUCUAUAAAAACACCUAUCACAUUAUAAAUUAAAAUAUAUAUUGUGACAAAUAUUCAAUUAGUGAAAAGAAAAACCCAAUUUAAAUAUAAAAGCACAGAUAAUUCAACAUUUAAUUACCACUUUAACAAAUUCAACGAACAUGAGAAGUAAAAAGAAAAAAAAUUUAUACUAUUAAUAUAAGCCAUGUUUAUUUUCAUACACUUAUAAAUUCAAUAUAUAAUUUAAAUUUAAAUUUAUUUAUUUGGAGAGAUUGAUUUUGAAUAUUUAAAUAACGUAAAUGGUCAUUUGCAAUGUUUUGUUUAAAGGUUUGCACGCGGUAAAGAUUAUCUUAGUUUUCAGCUUGUUUCCGAAUUUUCAAGAGCUUGACAUUUGAUGCAGAAUCAAAUGAAAAAAAAUAUUAAAUUCUAAGUAAUUAAAAGUAAUAAAUUUUUAUAAAAAAAAUAGAAAAUUGGUGGAAACGUCUUUAAAAUAUUAAUGAAAUGAUACAGGUUGCAGAAAAGAAAUUAUUAAUGUUUGAAUAUUAAAAUCUAAGUAGAUGUAAUAGCCCGAUUUCGGGUCUCGUCGGAACAGUGGUUUCGGGACCACAAAUCCGACGAGAAAAAAUAAAAUGGCCUGAAUUUUCAGGGGUGUCAAAACGGUGAUUCGAGAUCAUUAAAACCGACAAAUGAGUAGAAAAUAUUAUUAAUUUAGUGAGUAUAAGUUAAAUGUGAAGUUAAGAAAAUUUUUGAACAAAAAGGACUAAAUUGUAACAAAUGCAAAAUUAUGGGAAAUGAUUAAAUAGCUUAAAUGAUAAAAGUAAGAGGGCUUAAAAGAUAAAUAGACCCAAUGUCUAUUUGGGCUGGACGGCAAAGGCGUGAAAUCAGCAAGAAAGUAAGGAGAAUUAAGGGCAAAAUUGGAAUAUUGCAAAUUUACUUAAUAAAGCUAGGAUCCAAGUGGAAUUAUCCAGAUUUCUCUUUAUUUUUCUCCAUUCUCAUCAUCAAAAACACCAUAGAAGGGUUUCCUUAAGCUGGUUUUUCAUAUUUUUACUGCAAGUAAGUUCAAUUCUUGAUUAUUUCUUGAACUUUUUGUGUUUUUGUGACAUUUAGAACUAGGCCCACUUGUUGAAUUCAUUAGUUUUUGAUUCUAUGAAAGAAGUUGAAAGUUGCUAUGAAUAUGUGUUGGUAGUAUAUGAUGAUUUAGCAUGUAAUUAGAGCUUUAAAUUGUUUAUAUGCUGAUUUUAUUGAAAGAAUUGAAUAGAAAGUGAAUGUUUGGGACCUAAUAGUAAAACAAGUUAGGGUUUUAUGAGGAAAUUCUGAAUUUCAAUAAUUAUGAAUAGCUUAUAAUGUGUAGGUAAAGUACUAAUUGAGAAAAAUUAGCUUAAUUGAGGGGUUAAUUGAGAAGGGACUAGAUUGUAUGAAAUGUGAAAUUUGGGGCAAACUAGAAAUCAACAUUUUACACUAAAACAGUUUUGGACGGCAGCAGUAGUUUAACUUUGAAAAAUCACCAAAAAUUAUGGGAAUCGAAUUAGAGAAUGAAUAAAAUAUUAAAUUAAAUCUUAUUGAGCCUAGUUUCUCAUAGAAGAAACGGUGUAAGUAAUAGAAUUGUAAAUUAUGAGAUAUAAUAAAUUUUGUGAGACAAGGUCAGAGUGAUUUCGGGUUCCCCUGUUCUGAAUUUGGAAAAUCAUAAAAAAUUGAAGAAAAAUAAUUAAGAGCUUAAAUUUAUAUAUUUAAAAUCCUAAAUGAGUCUAUUUUAAAGAGAAAUAAACGGAAACAUCAUCCGAAUCCCGUACAAGGAGAUAAUUAAUUUUAAGUGAAGAAGGGUCAGAACUAUCUAGCAGUGAAACAUGGGAGAUUUUAAAGAAUAAACUGUACUUAUUAGCUAAGACAAAAAUUCUGAAAAUUUAUGGUAAGAAAAUAUGUAAGUCUGGUUUCAGAUAAAAUUAACGGAUCUUAAUUUGGAGUUUCGUAACUCAAGAUAUAAAUAAUUUAGUGACUCUGACUCGGAUAGACAGAUUUGAAUUUAAUUAUAAGUAAAUAGUGAAAAUAUAGUGAAUUUACUUGUGUAUAAAUCGGUCAUAUAUUCGAUCAUAAUCGAUAAAUGUUGAAUUAGAAAUGAUGUAAUGUUUUAUUUCAAAUAGUUACUAUGAGAUUGAUGAUAAUCUGAUUUUAGCUAAAUUAAAAGCUAAAGCUAUGUUUUCAUUGCAAAAUUAAGAAUUUCAUAAAUAUGUUAAUGAAUGGCAUAAUCGAUAAACGUUGAGUUAAAUGGUAAAUAGUAUUAGUAUUGAACUUAAUGAUAUUGAAUUUUAUGAGAAGUAAAUGGAAAUUUCUAUUGCUAGUGAUAUGAUUUGAAUUAAAAGAAUUAUUGUGAUAUUGAAAUGUAUAUUGGAUUGAGAAAUUGAUUUAAAUUGUAAACAUAAGAAAUUAUGAAUUGAAUGAAAUGGAAAUGAAGCAUUGAAUUGUUAAGACUUGUGAAUUGCAUGAAUAUAAAUCGGGUCUCGUAGGCCCUAUUUAUUAUGAAUAUAAUAUUUAAAGGAUAUAUUGUGAAGAGUUAUAAAAGCAUGUCAAAAAAAUUGAAAGUUUUAAUUUUGAUGAAAUUUUAUAAUACGGUUAAAUACAUUUACAAAUGUAUGUGUUCUGGUAAUGCCUCGCACUCUAUUCCGGCGACGGAUACGGGUAAGAAGUGUUACAUUAGAAGUAAAAAGAAAAAAAUAAAACCAAUGAAAAUGAGAAAAGAAAUUAUGGUUUGAGUGAUACAGAUAAUAAUGACAUAGAAAUUUGAGAAAAUCAACGACCAGAGACCUGGGAGAUAGAAUUGGUAGCAUUAGAUGAAGAAGUGGAAGUGGAUCUGUUAUCUUGGGGAAUAAUAUCAACCCUUCUGUCAGAUUCAAUGAAGGCAGGUCGAGUGGGCUGUCUUGGCUCUAAGGAGCUCACUGUUCUAAGCAUAGUAACCACCUCUGACAUUGUAGGCCUCAAAGAAGCUGAUGAUUGAGUGCAUAAGAAUGCUAUUUCGAUCAUUCUUUGCAUUUCGUCUAUAUCAUAUUCUUCCGGAUCUAAGCUUCUGUCUACUAUUUCCAUUGCCAUAUUAUCUUGGUACAGUCCCCAUGCCUACAUGUAUAUAUAUCACCAAAAAGAAAAGAAAAAAACACACAUAGGAAUUAGCAGUAAUAUAUGUAUCAACUCAGAUUAGGAAAUUAAAGUACCCGUUUUAGAAGGAACUCAGCGGUAGGAUCAAGAGAGGUUUCGUUGUUCUUUAGGCCACUGAUGAUUUCAAGGACAACCACCCCAAAGCUAUAUGUAUCAACUUUCACUGACAAUUGCCCAUGGAUUGCAUAUUCUGGUGCUGUAUAUCCACUGUCCCAUCCAACUUAUUUCAUUAUUAACCAUAUAUAUGCAUGCUAAUUACCUAAAUUUACUACCCAAACGCCAAAAGCCUAGAAAUUUGGGAUGGGAAACUUACAAAGUGCCAGCAAAUUUGGUGCUAAGAUGAGUCUGAUCCUCAGGUAAGAGCCUGACCAAUCCAAAAUCUGCUAUCUUAGGCUGAAAAUCUCUGUCCAAAAGUAUAUUGCUAGGUUUGAUGUCCCUAUGGAUGAUACAUACAUGAAACUCCUCGUGUAAAUAGGCUAGUCCCUUUGCUGUGCCUACUAUUAUGUCAAAUCUCUGUUUCCAGUUCAGAGAUCCAUGCCCUUCACCUGUUCGACAAAAUAAAACAAACAUAAAAUUGCUUUCAAGAUCAUUAAUUUUACGACAAUCAAGAUUCAAUUUCUGACAAUUAAUUACCAAAUAAGUGCUUAUCAAGGCUGCCAUUAGGCAUGAACUCAUAGACAAGGAGAAGCUCAGGGCCUUUACUACAGCAGCCAACAAGGCGAACCAGAUUCCGAUGAUGAACAUUGCUUAUAAGCUUCACUUCUGUAUCGAAUUCUGCUUUUACCUUUUCUGAUUUGCUUAUGGCUAGUUUCUUCACUGCUACCACCCUUCCAUUCUUCAAUAUACCCUAUAUUUAUAUAUUAAAAUUCCAACCGCCCACAAAUUUAUCAAUUUUCUUUUACAAUAAUAUAAAAGUAAUUUCAUUAUUGUUGAGUAAAUUGCAAGGUUAAAAAUAUUCACCUUGUAUACUUCACCAAAACCACCUUCUCCUAAUUUAUUUUGUUGACUAAAAUUUGUCGUUGCAAAAUUCAAUUCUUUGUAAGUGUAAGUCAACGGACCUUGUAACUCAGGUGGCGCCUCUACAUCCUCUGCAAUGUUUUUUUUUUUCUUUUUAAAUGGGCACAUAAUUAUGAUUUUAUUUAUUUUAACCCACAAAUAUAGAAUUAAUAUAAUAUGUUACCUUGAGGAACUGCCAUAUUGUUUCUUGAUUUUCUAACCCAAAACAAUAAUAAAGUUAUAAGCAACAGAAGACCUCCACCUCCAACCAGUCCUCCAAUCAGAGCAUCCCUUUUAGUUGUAUUUCCUGCAUGAUUCAAUUUUUAAUAUAAAUUCAACCUGUCCUCCAAUUUGUUAACAUGGAAGGAGAAGGAGAUAUUAUUGGAUUAAUUGAUCUGUAUAUAUUUAUAUUAAAUUCAAACCCUUGGAAGGAAUAGGCGAGCCAUAGUAGAAAGGGAGGAGAGGUGCCUUAAAAGGACUUACUGGUUUUCAAGAAGGGUUUCAGGUCAAUGGUGUAGUUAGCACCAAAGAAGGGGGAGUCUGAGUAUCUUAGGAAACAUCCAGUGUCAACUGCCCGACCAUCUGAGUCAGGUGGGCAUCUUUGAAUAUUGGCUAAAGCCACUUUCAAGCAUUCCAUGCACCCUUUCUCGUCGAUGGUUUCCAUGCAUUGCGCCACGCCAUACGCUGUUACAUUGCCAUUUACACCACCCACUUCCUCCCUGCUGGCAGCAAAGAACGAA